rnacentral:tRNA from 1 species
GCGUUGGUGGUGUAAUGGCGUAGCAUCCUGCUAAGCUGGAAGUGUGGGUUCGAGUCCCGUCCGGCGCC